GCCGCGGAGCCGCGCGGGGCCAUGGCGGCCCCGGACAGCUGCGUGAAGGUGGCCGUGAGGAUCCGCCCGCAGCUGCCCAAAGAGAAGAUAGAGGGAUGUCACAUCUGUACCUCGGUGACGCCUGGCGAGCCCCAGGUGCUGCUGGGGAAGGACAAAGCCUUCACCUAUGACUUUGUCUUUGACCUGGACACGUGGCAGGAGAGGAUCUACACAACAUGCAUGGGGAAGCUCAUCGAGGGCUGCUUCGAGGGCUACAAUGCCACCGUGCUGGCCUACGGGCAGACUGGAGCAGGGAAGACCUACACCAUGGGCACCGGCUUCGACAUGAGCAUCUCGGAGGAGGAGCAGGGCAUCAUCCCGCGGGCCAUCAGCCACCUCUUCAGCGGCAUCGAGGAGCGCAAGCGCGCGGCCCGGAGCCAGGGAGUGGCAGCACCCGAGUUCAAAGUCAGCGCCCAGUUCCUGGAGCUUUACAACGAGGAGAUCCUGGACCUCUUCGACAGCACCCGCGAUCCCGACGCGCGCCACCGCAAAUCCAACAUCAAAAUCCACGAGGAUGCCAGCGGGAGCAUCUACACCACGGGGGUCACCUCACGCCUCAUCAGCUCCCAGGAUGAGCUGAUCCAGUGCCUAAAACAAGGAGCUCUUUCCCGCACCACGGCCAGCACCCAGAUGAACGUGCAGAGCUCCCGGUCCCAUGCCAUCUUCACCAUUCACCUGUGCCAGACCAGAGUGUGUGCCCGCCCAGAGCUGGUGAAUGAGGAGGUGAGCAGCCUUCUGGAUGGAUCCCAACCCGCUGCUGAGUACGAGACCUUGACAGCCAAGUUUCACUUUGUGGACCUGGCUGGCUCGGAGCGGCUGAAGCGGACGGGUGCCACUGGCGAGAGAGCCAAGGAAGGGAUCUCCAUCAACUGUGGGCUGCUGGCCUUGGGGAAUGUCAUCAGUGCCCUUGGGGACCAGAGCAAGAAGGUCGUGCACGUGCCCUACCGUGACUCCAAGCUCACCCGCCUGCUGCAGGAUUCCCUCGGGGGCAACAGCCAAACCAUCAUGAUUGCCUGUGUGAGCCCCUCUGACCGGGAUUUCAUGGAGACCCUGAACACGCUCAAGUACGCCAACCGGGCUCGCAACAUCAAGAACAAGGUGGUGGUGAACCAGGACAAGACGAGCCAGCAGAUCAGCGCCCUGCGGGCUGAGAUCGCCCGUCUGCAGAUGGAGCUGAUGGAGUACAAGGCAGGCAAGCGGGUGAUCGGGGAGGAUGGCACGGAGGGCUACAGCGACCUGUUCCGUGAGAACGCCAUGCUGCAGAAGGAGAACAGCGCCCUGCGCAUGAGGGUGAAGGCCAUGCAGGAGGCCAUCGAUGCCAUCAACAGCAGGGUCACCUACCUCAUGAGCCAGGAGGCCAACCUGAUGCUGGCCAAAGCAGGUGACGGAAACGAAGCCAUCGGCACCCUCAUCCAGAACUACAUCCGGGAGAUCGAGGAGCUGAGGACCAAGCUCCUGGAGAGCGAGUCCAUGAACGAGUCCCUGCGCCGCAGCCUCUCGCGUGCCUCUGCCCGGCCCCCGUUCCCGCUGGGCUCCUCGCCGGGUGCCGGCCUGGCCGGGCUCUGCAGCCCCGCCGCCCCGCUGGACACCGAGGCCUCCGACGUCCUGCGGAGGGCCAAGCAGGACCUGGAGCGCCUGAAAAAGAAGGAGCGGCGGCAGCAGAGGAAGAGCCCGGAGAAGGAGGCGUUUAAGAAGCGGCAGAAACUGCAGCAGGACAACGGGGAGGAGACGGAUGAGAACGAGGUGGAAGAGGAGGAGGAAGAGCAGGAUGAGAGUGGCUGUGAGGAAGAGGAUGGGCGCGAGGAUGAAGAUGAGGACUCGGGCAGCGAAGAGAGCCUGGUGGACUCGGACUCGGAUGCAGAGGAGAAGGCUGUGAAUUUCCAGGCCGACCUGGCGGAUCUGACCUGUGAGAUUGAGAUCAAGCAGAAGCUGAUUGAUGAGCUGGAGAACAGCCAGCGGCGUUUGCAGACCCUCAAGCACCAGUAUGAGGAGAAGCUGAUCCUACUGCAGAACAAGAUUCGGGACACGCAGCUGGAGCGGGACCGGGUCCUGCAAAACCUCAGCACCAUGGAGUGCUACACAGAGGAGAAAGCCAACAAGAUCAAAGCAGACUAUGAGAAGCGGCUGAAGGAGAUGAACCGGGACCUGCAGAAGCUCCAGGCGGCCCAGAAGGAGCACGCUCGCCUGCUCAAGAACCAGUCCCGCUACGAGCGGGAGCUGCGGAAGCUGCAGGCAGAAGUGGCCGAGAUGAAGAAGGCAAAGGUGGCGCUGAUGAAGCAGAUGCGGGAGGAGCAGCAGCGGCGGCGGCUGGCGGAGACCAAGAGGAACCGGGAGAUCGCGCAGCUCAAGAAGGAGCAGCGCCGGCAGGAGUUCCAGAUCAGGGCUCUGGAAUCUCAGAAGCGACAGCAGGAAAUAGUGCUGCGGAGGAAAACCCAGGAGGUGUCAGCGCUGCGCCGCCUGGCCAAGCCCAUGUCGGACCGGGUGGCGGGCAGGAUGAGCCAGAAGCCGGCCAUGCUGGACUCGGGCGCAGAGGUCUCGGCCAGCACCACCUCCUCCGAGCCCGAGUCUGGCGCUCGCUCCGUCUCCAGCAUCGUGCGCCAGUGGAACAGGAAAAUCAACAACUUCCUGGGAGAGCCCUCGUCCUCCAUUAACGGGGCUCGGCCUGCCAGGAAGAAGUUCCCCAAGAAGGGGACGAGCCAGACCUUCAGCAAAGCUGCCCGCCUCAAGUGGCAGUCCCUGGAGCGGCGCAUCUUUGACAUCGUCAUGCAGAGGAUGACCAUCGUCAACCUAGAGGCAGACAUGGAGAGGCUCAUCAAGAAACGCGAGGAGCUCUCACUGCUGCAGGAGGCGUUGCUGGGCAAGCGGGCAAAGCUGCAGGCAGAGAGCCCCAUGGAGCAGAAGGGUCUGCAAGAGCUGAACGAGGAGAUUGAGGUGCUGGGGGCCAACAUUGACUACAUCAACGACAGCAUCUCAGACUGCCAGGCCACCAUCAUGCAGAUUGAGGAGACCAAGGAGGAGCUGGACUCCACGGACACCUCGGUGGUGAUCAGCUCCUGCUCCCUGGCCGAAGCCCGGCUGCUGCUGGACAACUUCCUGAAAGCCUCCAUCGACAAGGGGCUGCAGGUGGCCCAGAAGGAGGCCCAGAUCCGCCUGCUGGAGGGGCGGCUGCGGCAGACGGACGUGGCCAGCUCCUCGCAGAACCACGCCCUGCUGGACGCCCUGAGGGAGAAGGCUGAGUCCCACCCGGAGUUGCAGGCACUGAUCCACAACGUCCAGCAAGAGAACGGCUACACCAGCACGGACGAGGAAGUUUCAGAGUUCAGCCUGGCCUCGGAUGGGAGCAUCUCCCAGUCUUUCACCAUGAAGGGCUCAGCAAGCCAGGAUGACUUCAAGUUCAAGGGAGAGCCCAAGCUCUCGGGGCAGAUGAAGGCGGUGUCGGCUGAGUGUCUGGGCCCCACGCUGGACGUCUCCACCAAGAACAUCACCAAGUCCUUGGCAUCCCUGAUGGAGAUCAAAGAGGACAGGAUUGGCUUCUCCAUCCGAGACCCCUAUUACAAGGAGAAGGUGUCACGCACCAUCAGCCUGCCCACGCGAGGAAGCACCUUUCCCAGGCAGUCCCGGGGCUCGGACACUUCUCCUCUGACAAGGCGGAAAUCCUAUGACCGUGGGCAACCUGCCAGGCCUGCAGACAUCGGCUUCACGCCGCCCUCCUCCCCGCCCACCCGGCCGCGCAACGACCGCAACGUCUUCUCCCGUCUCAGCAGCACCCAGAGCCAGGGAUCUGCCUUGGACAAGUCUGAUGACAGCGAUUCCUCUGUCUCGGAGGUGCUGAGGGGCAUCAUUAACCCAGUGGGUGGCACCAAGAAUGCCCGGACAGCCCCGCUGCAGUGUGUCUCGGUGGCAGAGGGUCACACCAAGCCUGUGCUCUGCCUGGAUGCCACCGAUGAGCUGCUCUUCACUGGCUCCAAAGACCGGAGCUGCAAAAUGUGGAACCUGGUGACAGGCCAGGAAAUCGCUUCUCUCAAGGGUCACCCGAACAACGUGGUUUCCAUCAAGUACUGCAGCCACACGGGGCUGGUGUUCACCGUGUCCACGUCGUACAUCAAGGUGUGGGACAUCCGCGACUCGGCCCGCUGCAUCCGCACCCUCACGUCUUCUGGGCAGGUGAUCUCCGGGGAUGCGUGCGCUGGCACCAGCACCCGCACUGUCACCAGCGUGCAGGGCGAGCACCAGAUCAACCAGAUCGCGCUGAACCCCACGGGCACCGCGCUCUACGCCGCCGCCGGCAACUCCGUGCGCGUCUGGGAGCUGAGCAGGCUGCAGCCCGUGGGAAAGCUGAGUGGCCACAUCGGGCCCGUGAUGUGUCUCACAGUGAACCAGACGGCGAGCAACCACGACCUGGUGGUCACAGGCUCCAAGGAUCACUAUGUCAAGGUGUUUGAGAUCACGGAGGGCAUGGCUGGCAAUAUUGGCCCCACUCACAACUUCGAGCCCCCUCACUACGACGGCAUUGAGUGCCUGGCCAUCCAGGGAGAUGUCCUCUUCAGCGGCUCCAGGGACAACGGCAUAAAGAAGUGGGAUCUGGAGCAGCAGGAACUCAUCCAGCAAAUCCCCAAUGCCCACAAAGACUGGGUCUGUGCCCUGGCCUUCAUCCCCGGCCGCCCCAUGGUGCUGAGCGCCUGCCGAGGGGGCGUCAUCAAGGUCUGGAACGUGGACACCUUCACCCCAGUCGGGGAGAUCAAGGGGCACGACAGCCCCAUCAACGCCAUCUGCACCAACUCCAAGCACAUCUUCACCGCCUCCAGCGACUGCCGGGUAAAGUUAUGGAAUUACGUGCCUGGGCUCACCCCUUGCCUUCCACGACGCGUCCUUGCCAUAAAGGGCCGUGCUACUAGUCUGCCUUGACCCUCCUGCUCUUUGACUCUCUUGCUCAUUCGCUCUUCUUCCGUCUCUCCUUCCCUCUUCUCUCCAUCUCUCCCUCCCUCUGUCCCUCUCACUGUUGCUUUUGCUCCUCUCUCUCUUCCCCCCCCCCCCCCCCAACCCCCUUUUUCUCUGGUCUGAGCUGCUUCUUCACGCGACUUGACAGUGAAGCUCUGGAGUGGGAGGAGGUUGCCUGCGGGGUCAAACUAGGAACUGCAGAAAGACUGGAAGGCGUGGGGGCAGGGUGAAGGGCAGGGUGCCUCCCCCUGCUAGCAGGACUCGGUCACCUACAGGAGCUCAGCCCAGGACAGGGAUUUCUUUGUGCCUCACCCAACAAUGCUGCAUCUGGUGCUUUGAGCGCUGUCAGCUCCUGUGAGGAAGCAGCUCUGUGGGGCACCAGCAGCUCCACCUGCCCUCCUGCUGAGGCUUCUCCAUGGUUCUCCAGUGAACAGGAAAUGUUUCAUCUCUCCUCUCACCCAUCCUGCUGUAAGGACUUCAUGGGGGUCAGAGAUCCCUGACUCCUUCCCUCCUGCCUGUGUGGGCUCCUGUGGCCUCUGCCGUGCUGUGCUGCUCCCGGGCUGGUUCCUGCAGGAGUCUUUCUCCACUCCACGAGGACAUCUGGUGUCUGCUGGCCAGGACCACAACACAGAGGGUGCUUCUCUGGAGCCAUUCCUUGUGCUACACCUCUGCUGUGGGUCUGCAGGAUUUCCUGGUACUCCUAGCCUUCCCUACCCUCUCUGGACUGUCCCCAGUGCUUAGAGGGGUGCACCUCCAGGCUCCUUUGCCAUGUCCCGCCUCGUGAGGCACAGCAAGCCUGGGAAGAUCUCCGUCAGGCAACUUCCAGACAGACCUGCUGGAAGAACACCUGCUCCCUUUGACAUCCUCCAAACCCCGGUUGUAAACUCAACUGCCCCAUGGCUCUGGGCUCUUCCCCACGUGCCCAGCCUGCUCUGCAGUGGGAAGGGGCCGCUCUGGACAUGGUGACCCCCAUCAAGGGUUUGUGAUGGGUUCCUGCAGCGAGUCAACCCCCUUGAGACGGAGAAAUGAAGCGAGAAUGGAGGUUACAGUGCAAAAAAGCCAAGGCUGGAUUUGUCACUCCACUGCUGUGGCUCUGUCUGUCCUCCCCUUAGGUUCUGCCCUCAGACCCCUGCCUGGACUGGAGCUUGCUUAGGCCGGGCGUGCUGGCCCGAGGAUCCAGGGGUGGAGAGGAGCCAGCAGGGCACGGAGCAGCCAGAGUCCUCUGUGGGAGGAGCAGAGGGGAGCGGGUUGCACACACGGAUCUUGCACAAGGCUCCUGAUUCCCCCUGCGCCCCAAGGACAAUCCUGCAGUGGAUCACCUUGCACAACCUCAUCUCCUGGAGGGUCUGGGGGCUCCACCCAGGAGUGUUUCCCCAAGGACACACGUUCUGCAGGCUCUUUCCUCUGUCUCUCCUGUUCAAGGGGGGCUGGUGAAGGCCCUGGUCUCACACUGGAGCUUCCCUCCAUCUCUCCCAUGGCCCAUUGGACCAUCCCCUGCCCUGUCCUGCCCUGGGCCACCCAGGGCUCUUGUGGGAUGGCCGAGGAGACCCCAGGAUGGGUGUUCUUGCCUCACACGCUCUCCUUUCCCCUUUGUCACAGAAGAAGCAGCACUUGAACUCAAAUUUAAGGAUUUCUCCGUGUGAUCCCACCAGCACUGAACUGGGAUCUUGGAGGCCAGGGGCUCCAGGACCUGCCCCAUAAAGCACAGACCAUUUCCCCUCUGCUCUCUCCAACCACGGUGAGACCUUGACCAGCCCCAGGUCCUGUGCCAGCAGCCCUUGUUCUGAGCAUUCUGGCUGGACUGAGGGGAUUCCUCUGCAUCAUGAAAGACAGGAGUAUCUCUAUUGAUUUGGUGGGGGAGGGGGGCUGCCUUUUUUGGGGGGGUAGAUUCCAUCCUGCUGGCUUGCCUUGUUGGAGGGUAAAUGGUACGUGUGUGUGUGUGUGUGUGUGUGUGUGUAUGGGGGUCUGGGGGAGGUCUCUGCCCCCCAGGCCUGUCUGGGAGAGGGUUUCUGCACCCAUUCCUCAGCUGGUUUAUCCUUUGCUUGGCUGGAGGGGCUGUGUGUGUGUGUGAGGUGUCUCUGGCAGAGUGUUUGGCUGUGGCCUGGUGUCAUGUGUGAAUCUCUGUCUGCUCUGAGGUCUCCAGUGCCUGCCCUGGAGCCUUCACUGCUCCCUGCUGCCGUGAGCAGAGGUGGCUCUGGGGCACUAGGGUCAGACCUGCCUUGCCUUUUGCCACCAGUACCUUCCUGUGUGCAGGCUAGAAGUGCCUGCUUAGUGUUCCAGGGCUGAGUGACCAGUCCUGGAGGAUGCUGAGCCUCUCUUGCUGCUGUGUCCAGCAGCCUGGUGAGGGGCUUCAAGGCUCUCACAGCCUGUGGAGGGAGGGAGGGAGGGAGCUGAUGUUGGGGCAUUGGUGUCCUGAGGCAAGGGGGGUUGAAGUGAGGUCUGUCCUGAUUUAGGGAUAGUGCUAAUAGUUCCAAUUUAGUGCUCCCACUGAAGCUGUGCACCACUCACACCCCCAUCCCCAGCAGGGUGGAGAGGGGAAUUGGAGGCACAAAAGAUGAAGAUCACAGAUUGAGAUGAGAGCAAUGUACUGGAAACAGCAGUGAGAUAAAAAACAAACUGGAAACAGCAACAAUAUUAAUAACAAAAGUAUAAAAAGAGAGAAUGAUCCACAUGCAGAAUGCUCACCCUGGAGCCCAUGACCUGACCACAGCCAUGUUUUACUGACCAGAGUAGAUCACAGCAGAAGAGAAGAAAUGGAUUCUGCCCGUGUAUCUCAGUGGCAUCAGGGUACAUUGUGUGUAAAGCCUUAUGCUCUGGAGGAUCUGCUGUGCCAGCCUUGGCUCCACACAGUCCAGCAGAGCCCAUUGCUGCUCUCCCCACCUGGCUGGAGGCAGGGCCCCUCUAGUUCUUGUCGUGGUACUCACUGCUCACUUCUUGCACCGGAAACUGGAGUGGCAUCUGUCCUUGAAGAAUUCCCUGCAGCUGUUGCUUCUCCUCUCAGCUCACACCCAUGCUGCCAGGGCAGAGGUGGGUUUUCCAUCCCACUCCCUCUUGUCCUCUCUGUGGUGAUGCAGGUAAAACCAUAGGUUGCCUUGUGGUGUGUCCCCUCUCUCUCUCGAGGGGGGCAGUUGCUCCCAGCAGCGGACUCGGGUCUGUACUGGUGUGACAUGGGACAUCUCCUCAGUCCACAGAGCGUGGGCUGGGCCACAGGCUUUAGACAGUCUUUUUACACAGUUGAGACACAGGUUGGUAGGAAGGAAAAAAGAUGAUCUUCAUCAUCAGCGUCGGGGAGCCACCUUUAACGCUGUUUGUUCUCCUGUUGGCAUCAGUGCCAGUGGGCCAGUGCGCUCUGUACAACCUCCUGCCACGUGCACUGUGUACACCGGACCUCACCUGCACCUACAGGGGGCUGCUGGUUAUCUGAACCCCCAGGGGCUCCCUCUGACACAGCGAAUUCCCUCAGGUACUGGCUCCCUUCUCCGUGGGCGUCCAGCUGCUUGGCUGCGCUACUCCAUCAUCCUUGAGGGACUGCCUUUCCCUCACACUUGACGGGAAUUGCCUCCAGAGGCUGCGAGGUGCUGUCCUCUUCCCGGUCCCCUUGUCAAUGCCCACAUCCCAGCUCCACUUCCAUCCAGUUCCACAGCGUGGGCUGCACUGUCCCAGCCCUGGAGCAGUCGGGUCACCAGGGGCUCCACCCAGCUGGCAGCUGAAAUCUCUUCACAUCCCAGCUCUGGGUGAUCAUCUCCAGCCCUGCCUCUUCCUCCUGUUCUUCUUUAUCCCUCUCUAUGCAAACUGAUUUGGUCUUGGAUCUCAUCUUCUGUAUAGGGGCGGCUGUAGCCAGCACAGGCUGUUCCUGUGGCUCAGCUGCACUUUGAGUGGCCACGGCGCCUGUUCUGCUUUCCUCCUCCUCCCCCUGAGGAUGCUGUCCAGUGAAAAGCAGUGUCUGGGAAAUGCUAACCAGGCCCCAGCACGCUGCAAUGAGUCUGUCCUCACUGGAGCUGCCACAGCGUUCUCCUUGCAAAUGCUCUGUCACUUUUACAGCGUCUUGUACUUGUUCAGGGGGAUGCUUCCAAACCAGUGGAGGAGAGAAUUUCUUCCAAAAGUGGCCCAUUUUCUCCCGUGUUCCAUGCCAGUCAUGACUAUUCCCCAUCAGGGUCGAUCUCUGAAUAACCUCCCUAGAACUCCCUUUCCUGACUCCAGAGAUUAUAUGGAGUGCACUAAGGCCACCUGGCAAAAAUAUGAUUUCCUUAACGUCCAAAGGGAAUUCAGAACUUCAAAAGCUCUUUUAACAGGCCUCAAGGGGGAAAAGUGGGUGAAAGACUGGGGAAAAUCCUCCUCCCCUGUUCCCCCCUUGGGCUGGUCAUGAUUGUCAUGAAUGGAGUCCCAAAGGUAGUGCCCGAGGUAAGGGUACAAGAGCAAGACAUAUCCCAAAUGCCCCUCACUGCCCUUAAUGUUAUCAUGUCACAAACUGAUGUCCCACAGAACAUCACCAGAGCAGUGCUGAUCCCUCUCCCUGCUCUGAGAAAGAGCACUGUGAUGGGAACAUACAGAAAUAUCUACAGGGUUAGGUACCCACGUGAGCACGCCAAGCAACAUUUUGACCAGUGGCUCAGUACCUAAUACAGAAAAUGUUUGGAUCAGAUUUGUUUCCAACCCACUCUGGGCAGAUCUGUUGUCAUCUCAACCGUACAAGCCCUACCCUGGGAUGCCCAAAAAAAAAAGGCUGUUGUGGUUUAGGAAUGGUAUUACCCAAUUUAGUGUUCCCAUUAUAACUGUGCACUGCCACAGCCCCCACCUCCUUCCUUCCCCACGGUGGAAGGGAGAGGAGAAUUGAAGGCACAAAAGGUAAAAAAAUCUCAGGUUGAGACAGGAACAACUGACUGGAAACAGCAAUGAGAUAAGAAAAAUCAACAGCAACAACAUUAAUAACAAAAGUGUACAAAAGAGAGCAAAUCACAUGCAAAAUGCUCACCGCAGUGCACACUACCCUGACUGGAAGAGAUCCCCUCUCCCUGGAAGAGACUCCCUUCCUCCUGCCCCAGCAAUGAUGUGAGGUGGCAUUGAAGAACCUCUGGGUUCUGGCCACAUCCCCUCCUGGCUACUGCAAAAAUUAACUCUGUCCUGGCUGGAACCAGGACAGGGCUGACUGUGAUCCCAUAGUUCUGUGUGUGUGUGUGUGUGUGUGUGUGUGUGUAGGUCUUAGUACCUGUGUGGGUUGAUGUUUCUCGUGCAGAAGAGCAUUUCUUGGGUGCUGAUCUGGUUUAGCUACCUCACGGUGCAAGCUGGGCGCUGUCGUCACUGGGUUUCGUAUUGGGGACGGGGUGGGGAGUUUGUGGUGUAAGACUUUUCUUUUUUGUUCUCUUAAUUAUUGUUAUUGUUACGGUUUGGACACUUGAAUUCGUCCUGGGGAACAGGUGGCCUCGCUCCCACCUUGCUGCACGUCUGAGCCAGCCCCUGCAUUCCCCUCCCUGCCUCCUCCUGCAGGGCAGCAGGGCUGGAGCUCCCUGCGCUGCCAGCUCCCACCUUCGCAGUGGGAUCCCCCAGCGCGGCGGCAGCACCGAGAUUUUGCUCCCAUUUCUAGCAGGAUCCUUGGUCUGAGGAUCUGUGGGGUUGCAUUGGUUAUUCUGUGGAUCGGCAGCCCGGAUGUGGCUCCCACCUCGUCCCGUGGAAGGGUGGAAAGGGAACUCUGAAAGGCUCAGCUCAGCCCGUAUUUCUUCCUCUGCUCUCACAGAUAUCCUCUGUGGAUGCGAUGAAGGUCUCGGCUGGGAAAUGCCUGUGCAAAGCACAUUGCUGGAAUGGGCUGGUUCAGCCCCCGCUUCCCAGAGCCUGCUGCAGCUGCAGGGCAGCAGGGACUUGGUGCUGUAAGAGCCUCUGCUCAAGCUGGGGCUGGUCUGUGAGAAGCUGAUUCUGCUGUGUGAUGUUUGAUUUUUCACUCCCAAACCCCGUAGCUGUGUCUAGAUUCAGUCGCAGGCACUGAACACAAACAAGGGGGGCCCCGGAGCCCCCAGCUUUCUCUGCUUGGGGCUGGGAGCUGCCCUGGCACCGGGAAGGUGGGGAGCUCUGAGCCACACGGUCACUCUGGGCUGCAGGUCCUCCCGAACAGUAAAGCACAAGGUCCCACGUGCAGGUGGCUCCAGGAGGGGUGGCCCCUUGGCCCUUCAGAGCUGAGACAGCCGAGGAGGAGGUGGACUGGCACGAGGGCUCUUUGCCUGCCGUGCUGCAUCCCUUUGCACUGUGCUGGCUGCUCCCUGGAGCUCAGGCUGCACAACUCCAGUCCCCUCUGGUGGUCUCAGAGCCCCUCUGAGAGCCCCUCCAGGGCAGGGACACUUUGCAGCUGCCUUUGUACCAAGCACCUCAUUUUUCUUCGCCCUUGGGCGCCUUGAUUUGUUACAAGGGUGUCACAAAUCCUGCCUAUGUCCUUCCUCAAGCUGCUGGGUUAUGCUUUUUUCCCCAGGGCCUAACUCUACUCUCCUCACCCCCAGCACACAGGGGCCAGCUCCAGCCUCUGCAGAGGGCACAGGGCUGCCCCAGAGCUGAGCUUUGCACAAUGGGGUGGACAAGAGCCGGGAGCCUAAAAGCACUGGAUCCCCAAACCACUGUGAGCCCUCCUGAGCAGUGUCCCCUCCCUGUCACCUACAGCUCUGGGGACACAGGAUGGGCUGGCCAGCUGCGAAGAAUGGGAGCUCUGGGGUCCCGUCCUGUCCCCUCCAGGUGUGUUGUUCCUCCCCACCACCUCUGAGCGCAGCUGCUUUGGGGUCUCAGUUGCUGCCUCCUGCCUUGGUGCUGCAAAACCAGUGCCUGCUUCCCACGGUGCUCUCCCAGUGCCCCACACCAGUCCUUCCCCUGCCCCACGCUGAAGAGAGUCCAGGUACGACCCCUGCCAAGCCCAGGGUUCCAGCUCGCUUUCCACAGGUUCCCUGGAGCUUCACUGUCUCCCGCAGGCUGCUUGUCCUGAGCCCCCCUCACCCUUCUGGGAAGGGACGAGGACCCCCAGCCCCUCCAGGUGCUGCACGGUGCUCCAGCCGUAACUGGGACAGGCCAGCACAGACCCAACUCCCAGAAAAGUCCAACCCUGCACCUUCCUCCUGCCCCAGGGCUUGUCCCCUCAUCCCCCACAGCUCUGCCCUGCUUCCUACCAAUUGCUCCUCCUGGCCUGGGACCCCCAGGUCCGGCCCCACAGCAGGCUGGGGCAGCUGCAGCACUGUGUCACCUGCUCCGUCACUCCUCUCCGCACAAGGAGCACAAUAGCAGAUGCCUUUUCACACUCGGAGCUUUUUCCAGAGGCCGGCUGCUCUGAAGGCUGCUGUUGUCUCUGUGGGGGUUGUGCAGCCCGGCCCUGCUGUGGGUUGCUCAGAGCACGAGGUGUGUGCGUGUGUUUUAUACCUUGGUGUGUUCCUGUAAAUAGUGUAAGUUAUUGUGGUCUCCUGCUGUACGUUUUUCAAUGGCCGUGUUCGUUUCUUGCCUCUUUUGUCUUUGCAAAUAAAACGUUCUUGACAUGAAGGGAUGGAGCUCAGAGGUGGCUUUGAGGAGGGGAAGGGCACAGCCAGGAGCCUCCCAUCCCCUCCUGUUCCCAUGUGCCUGGCCCAGGGGCUGGGAUGGAUGGGGGACUGUGGCUGCAGCACUCCUGGCCCUGCCCGAUGGAGUGGGAAGUGUCCCUCCCCAUGACAGGGAUUAUUAGACGUGGUGGCCUUUGAAGGUGUCUUCCACCCCAAACCAUUCUGUGAUUCUGGAAUCCUGUUGGUUGGGACAAGAGGAAACACCCUCAAGUUGUUCCAGGGGAGGUUCAGGUUGGAUAUUGGGGAAAAUUUCUGCACCAAAAGGGUCGUCAGGCCUUGGCACAGACUGUCCAGGGCAGUGUCACCAUCCCUGGGAAUGUUCAAAAGAUGUGUGGAUGUGGCACUUGGGGACGUGGUUUAGUGGUGAACGUGGCAGUGCUGGGGAGGGGUUGGACUCGAUGAUCUUACAGGGCUUUCCCAAACGAACAUUUCCAUGAUUCUAAGUGACCUGGACCCCUGUGGGCAGCAGGUCCUCAGGCAGAA